ensembl:snoRNA SNORD115 Small nucleolar RNA SNORD115
GGGUCUAUGAUGACAAACCUAUGUCAUGAAGAGAGAUGGUGACAUACAAACCAUCCUCAAUAGAAUGUGCUGAGGCCC